rnacentral:snRNA from 1 species
GUGCUUGCUUCAGCAGCAUGUAUAUUAAAAUUGGAAUGAUACAGAGAAGCUUAGCAUGGCCCCUGCACAAGGAUGACACGCAAAUUCGUGAAGCAUUCCGUACUUUU